CCUACGGGAGGCAGCAGUGAGGAAUAUUGGUCAAUGGUCGGAAGACUGAACCAGCCAUGCCGCGUGCAGGAAGAAUGCCUUAUGGGUUGUAAACUGCUUUUAUAUGGGAAGAAUAAGGUGUACGUGUACAUUGAUGACGGUACCAUAUGAAUAAGCAUCGGCUAACUCCGUGCCAGCAGCCGCGUUAAUACGGAGGAUGCGAGCGUUAUUCGGAAUCAUUGGGUUUAAAGGGUCUGUAGGCGGGCUAUUAAGUCAGGGGUGAAAGGUUUCAGCUUAACUGAGAAAUUGCCUUUGAUACUGGUAGUCUUGAAUAUCUGUGAAGUUCUUGGAAUGUGUAGUGUAGCGGUGAAAUGCUUAGAUAUUACACAGAACACCGAUUGCGGAGGCAGGGGACUAACAGACGAUUGACGCUGAGAGACGAAAGCGUGGGGAGCGAACAGGAUUAGAUACCCCGGUAGUC
rnacentral:rRNA from 1 species